GAUAAAGUCAAUUGUUCCACACAUGGUGGGCCCCAUGAAAAGUUAAAGCUAUUUGAAGACCAAACUCCAAUGAUAGUCAUAGAUGCACUCUAUAGUUCAACAUAUUGAUAGUCUGCAUGUUUUUUCUAGUUACUCUAUAUGUUGUUUGGUUUGGUUUUUGUAAUUUUGAAUGAAUUUUGUACUCUAUAUUUGAACAUAUUAGGCUCCAUUUGGUCGUCACAAGCCAAAUGGAGCCUAAGCCCCUUUUUAACUCUGCCAAUGCAACUCCUUGCAUUGCCGGUCCCAAGCCCGGGUAAAGGAGGAGGGAGAAUGGGCGUCAAGAGGGAACAUUUGGAUGCUGGCACAAAAUUGCUGAGGUUGUUGUGGCACGAAAGGGCACUGCUGGUCCGGGAUCAUUUGUGAAUUGAAUGGCGGAGCUCCAAACAAUCAGAUGUCAAUGGUCAGUCUACUGUUCAGCUCCAAACAAGGCUGGUCCAAUAACCAUGGAAGCCACCACAUGAAUUUGAAGGUUUAUGGGAUGGCUGUUCACUGGCACCAACUAUAGAAGCGGAUUGGCAGGUGUAACACACACCACCAAAGUGAUUGUGCCCUGUUGUGUUCUCGAGGGCUUAAAAAGGUUAGUCAAGAUAUGGAGCAAGUGCACAUUUGGUCAAAUUGCUACCAGUACCUAGUCUUGUCAUUCCAGGAGGCCCUUGACUGGUGGUUCCUCAUUCUCGGAAAAUUCCUUCUGAUUUCCUUUGUCAACUGCACUUAGCUGCCAAUUGCUCUUACAUGAUCAUCACGCAAGACCUAAUGCAACUUUAUUCUUAAACUGGUGUUGGAUCUCUACAGCACUCCAAGUAUGAUCUUUAUCGACAUUUUUUUUCCAGCACGCAGUAAUUUGUUGUUGUUGUUAAUCU